rnacentral:rRNA from 1 species
ACCGAGAAGGCCGCAAGCUCGAUGGCGGCACUCACCUCGUGAAGGGAUGACGGCCAUCGGGUUGUAAACAUCUUUUAGUAGGGAAGAAGCGAAUGUGACGGUACCUGCAGAAAAAGCACCGGCUAACUACGUGCCAGCAGCCGCGGUAAUACGUAGGGUGCAAGCGUUGUCCGGAAUUAUUGGGCGUAAAGAGCUCGUAGGCGGUUUGUCGCGUCUGCUGUGAAAUCCCGAGGCUCAACCUCGGGCUUGCAGUGCGUACGGGCAGACUAUAGUGCGGUAGGGGAGAUUGGAAUUCCUGGUGUAACGGUGGAAUGCGCAGAUAUCAGGAGGAACACCGAUGGCGAAGGCAGAUCUCUGGGCCGUAUCUGACGCUGAGGAGCGAAAGCAUGGGGAGCGAACAGGAUUAGAUACCCUGGUAGUCCAUGCCGUAAACGUUGGGCGCUAGAUGUAGGGACCUUUCCACGGUUUCUGUGUCGUAGCUCACGCAUUAAGCGCCCCGCCUGGGGAGUACGGCCGCAAGGCUAAAACUCAAAGGAAUUGACGGGGGCCCGCACAAGCGGCGGAGCAUGCGGAUUAAUUCGAUGCAACGCGAAGAACCUUACCAAGGCUUGACAUACACCGGAGACGUCCAGAGAUGGUCGCCCCCUUGUGGUCGGUGUACUGGUGGUGCAUGGUUGUCGUCAGCUCGUGUCGUGAGAUGUUGGGUUAAGUCCCGCAACGAGCGCAACCCUCGUUCUAUGUUGCCAGCGGGUUAUGCCGGGGACUCAUAGGAGACUGCCGGGGUCAACUCGGAGGAACGUGUCGAUGACGUCAGAUCAUCAUGCCCCUUAUGUCUUGGGCUUCACGCAUGCUACAAUGGCCGGUACAAAUGGCUGCGAUACCGUAAGGUGGAGCGAAUCCCAGAAAGCCGGUCUCAGUUCGGAUUGAGGUCUGCAACUCGACCUCAUGAAGUCGGAGUCGCUAGUAAUCGCAGAUCAGCAUCGCUGCGCUGAAUACGUUCCCGGGACUUCUACCCCCCCGCAACAAAAAAAAACCCCCCCCAAAAAAAAAAA